AUUUGUUUUUGUUUUGUAUUAUAAUAAAAAGCUCUUCUCAUCCAAUAUGGCUGUUAAGUGAUAUGUAAGCACGACACGAAGAAAAUCAACAGGUACAACAUCUGUUUCCGUAGAAGCCCUGGUGUUGUGAAGAAUAUGGACUUCAACCCUGUAAGCAGAGAUAACCUGACCUGACCUGACCUAACCUAAUACAACCAAUCCAUGAAGAAACAGUGUGGUACCAACAAUCACCGUUGAAUUGUUUAUGGCCUGUACGGAUUUCCAUGCCAAGAGUCUUGGGUUCCGGCAGGGAGGGAGCAACCCAGGCAUCUGCUCCCCUUAGAUUUUUUUAAAUAAAUCAUAAUAAAUAUAGAAAGAGAGAUAUUAAAUACAUUAAUAAAAAAUUAGAAGCUAUUUUCAACUAAAUGUAUCCUUCUAUCCUGAAUAUUCAUCUCAGAAUUGGAGCCCGAAGGAGCAGCAGCAAAAUGUGGUGCACUGUAUGUUGGAGAUGCGAUACUUUAUGGAAAUGGCCAGGACUUGAAGCAGGCCUCUCAUCAAGAAACUGUGGAUAUCUUGCAGAUGCAGUUGGGUGACAUGUGCUUGGAAGUGCAGUACAUUGCAGCAGAGGACAGCGAUGAGGAGAAUUCACUUGCAGAAGACGUGUAUGGCUUUAGUUGAUGAAACAGAUGAGCUCAACAGACACACACUCGGAACGCUUAGCCUCCUGCAGCAGAAGCAGAAAGAAAUGCAGUCUCCAUUUGUGGUCCUUAGUGGCAGUAAACAAACAUGAGGCAACCAUCUCAAAAACAAAACUGCAAAUUCUUCAUGAAAUAUGCUGGCACCAACUCUGAACUUUGGCGUGUUUUUUUGCUUCUUACUGUCUCUAUUUUUAAAUGAGACACAGCUUGCAGCUGCCAACAGUGCCUAUGUGUAUUGGAAGGAAGGCCACAGAGUUCAUUUCACAUUCAAAUGAGUACAGUGGUUCUCCUGCUUCCUUAGGUAACCUGUUGGCACCUGUAAGCUCCAAGGGAAGAAAGAAACCCUUGUUCAGUUGUAGGCCAGUAUGGAAAGCUGUAAAAUUAUACAAGCAGCAGAAUCAGAAGAUGUACAGUCUACUGCAAAUCAUUGUAAAGCACCACUGAUAUAUCACUGAAACAUUUGUAAUGGGUUAUAAAAGUAACUUGGUUCAUCCUGGUCCGUCACACUAGUAAUUGUAUGUAAGGGU